GAUGAACGCUGGCGGCGUGCCUAAUACAUGCAAGUCGAGCGAACAGACGAGGAACUUGCUCCUCUGACGUUAGCGGCGGACGGGUGAGUAACACGUGGAUAACCUACCUAUAAGACUGGGAUAACUUCGGGAAACCGGAGCUAAUACCGGAUAACAUGUUGAACCGCAUGGUUCAACAGUGAAAGACGGUCUUGCUGUCACUUAUAGAUGGAUCCGCGCCGCAUUAGCUAGUUGGUAAGGUAACGGCUUACCAAGGCAACGAUGCGUAGCCGACCUGAGAGGGUGAUCGGCCACACUGGAACUGAGACACGGUCCAGACUCCUACGGGAGGCAGCAGUAGGGAAUCUUCCGCAAAGGGCGAAAGCCUGACGGAGCAACGCCGCGUGAGUGAAGAAGGUCUUCGGAUCGUAAAACUCUGUUAUUAGGGAAGAACAAAUGUGUAAGUAACUAUGCACGUCUUGACGGUACCUAAUCAGAAAGCCACGGCUAACUACGUG
rnacentral:rRNA from 1 species